GGGAUCUAGAGUGUGCGAGAGGUAUGCGGAAUGCGUGGUGUAGCGGUGAAAUGCAUAGAUAUCACGCAGAACCCCGAUUGCGAAGGCAGCAUACCGGUGCACAACUGACGCUCAGGCACGAAAGCGUGGGUAUCGAACAGGAUUAGAUACCCUGGUAGUCCACGCAGUAAACGAUGAAUGCUACCUGUUUGGCCAGAUUGAUGGCUGAGCGGGACAGCGAAAGCGUUAAGCAUUCCACCUGGGGAGUACGCCGGCAACGGUGAAACUCAAAGGAAUUGACGGGGGCCCGCACAAGCGGAGGAACAUGUGGUUUAAUUCGAUGAUACGCGAGGAACCUUACCCGGGCUCAAACGCAUAAUGACGACAGUUGAAAGAUUGUUUCCCUUCGGGGCAUUAUGCGAGGUGCUGCAUGGUUGUCGUCAGCUCGUGCCGUGAGGUGUCGGCUUAAGUGCCAUAACGAGCGCAACCCCUAUCGACAGUUGCUAACGAGUCGAGUCGAGGACUCUGUCGAGACUGCCGGCGCAAGCUGUGAGGAAGGCGGGGAUGACGUCAAAUCAGCACGGCCCUUACGUCCGGGGCGACACACGUGUUACAAUGGCAGGGACAGCGGGAAGCCACCAAGCGAUUGGGCGCGGAACCCGAAACCCUGUCUCAGUUCGGAUUGGAGCCUGCAACUCGACUCCAUGAAGCUGGAUUCGCUAGUAAUCGCGCAUCAGCCAUGGCGCGGUGAAUACGUUCCCGGGCCUUGUACACACCGCCCGUCAAGCCAUGGGAGUCGGGAGUGCCUGAAGUUCGUGACCGUAUAGGAGCGGCCUAGGGUAAAACCGGUGACUGGGGCUAAGUCGUAACAAGGUAACCGUAA
rnacentral:rRNA from 1 species